UACGUAGGGUGCGAGCGUUGUCCGGAAUUACUGGGCGUAAAGAGCUCGUAGGUGGUUUGUCGUGUUGUUCGUGAAAACCUGAGGCUUAACCUUGGGCGUGCAGGCGAUACGGGCAGACUGGAGUACUGCAGGGGAGACUGGAAUUCCUGGUGUAGCGGUGGAAUGCGCAGAUAUCAGGAGGAACACCGGUGGCGAAGGCGGGUCUCUGGGCCGAUACUGACGCUGAGGAGCGAAAGCGUGGGGAGCGAACAGG
rnacentral:rRNA from 1 species